AUUGAACGCUGGCGGCAGGCCUAACACAUGCAAGUCGAGCGGAGGAAGGGAGCUUGCUCCUGGAUUCAGCGGCGGACGGGUGAGUAAUGCCUAGGAAUCUGCCUGGUAGUGGGGGAUAACGUCCGUAAACGGGCGCUAAUACCGCAUACGUCCUGAGGGAGAAAGUGGGGGAUCUUCGGACCUCACGCUAUCAGAUGAUCCUAGGUCGGAUUAGCUAGUUGGUGGGGUAAAGGCCUACCAAGGCGACGAUCCGUAACUGGUCUGAGAGGAUGAUCAGUCACACUGGAACUGAGACACGGUCCAGACUCCUACGGGAGGAAGCAGUGGGGAAUAUUGGACAAUGGGCGAAAGCCUGAUCCAGCCAUGCCGCGUGUGUGAAGAAGGUCUUCGGAUUGUAAAGCACUUUAAGUUGGGAGGAAGGGCAGUAAGUUAAUACCUUGCUGUUUUGACGUUACCAACAGAAUAAGCACCGGCUAACUUCGUG
rnacentral:rRNA from 1 species